GUGCUUGCUUGCUUCAGCAUCACAUAUGCUAAAAUUGGAAUGAUGCAAAGACUAGAAUGGCCCCUGCACAAGGAUGACACACAAAUUUGUGAAGCAUUCCAUGUUAAA